GGAGGUAGUGACAAUAAAUCACAAUGCGGAACAAUGUUUUGCAAUUGGAUUGAGAACAACGUACAAACCUUAUCGAUAAACAAUUGGAGGGCAAGUCUGGUGCCAGCAGCCGCGGUAAUUCCAGCUCCAAUAGCGUAUAUUAACGUUGUUGCAGUUAAAAAGCUCGUAGUUGAAAUGAAGGGUAGUUGUGUAAUGAAUACAUUCGUGUAUUUUGUUAUUCUACUACCCUCCUUCUAAAUUCGAUAUAUGAGUAUUAAUUUACUUGUAUAUGGUUUUAGACGUUUACUGUGAGAAAAUUAGAGUGUUCAAAGCAGGCAUUUGCUUGAAUAUAUUAGCAUGGAAUAAUCAUGUAUGAUUUUCAUGAUGUAUUUGAUUGGUUUGGUUCAUGAGAAUAAGAUUAAAAGGGACAGUUGGGGGUAUUCAUAUUCAAUAGUCAGAGGUGAAAUUCUCGGAUUUAUGGAAGAUGAACAAGUGCGAAAGCA
rnacentral:rRNA from 1 species